rnacentral:rRNA from 1 species
UGGGGAAUUUUGGACAAUGGGGGAAACCCUGAUCCAGCCAUCCCGCGUGUGCGAUGAAGGCCUUCGGGUUGUAAAGCACUUUUGGCAGGAAAGAAACGUCAUGGGUUAAUACCCCGUGAAACUGACGGUACCUGCAGAAUAAGCACCGGCUAACUACGUGCCAGCAGCCGCGGUAAUACGUAGGGUGCAAGCGUUAAUCGGAAUUACUGGGCGUAAAGCGUGCGCAGGCGGUUCGGAAAGAAAGAUGUGAAAUCCCAGAGCUCAACUUUGGAACUGCAUUUUUAACUACCGGGCUAGAGAGUGUCAGGGGGAUGUGGAAUUCCGCGUGUGGCAGUGAAAUGCGUAGAUAUGCGGAGGAACACCGAUGGCGAAGGCAGCCUCCUGGGAUAACACUGACGCUAAUGCACGAAAGCGUGGGGAGCAAACAGG